rnacentral:lncRNA from 1 species
GCCGCUUGCCGCACCCCCGAGCCUGAGCCCGUCUACCUCGUGGCUGCCUGAGGCCCGGGUAUGGGGGCGCGCGUCUGCGAGGAGGUCGCGGGUGCCCUGGUUUUUUUGAAGCCGGCCUUGUAUUCCCAGGGCCUGGCGGGUGAAUAACCGGCCGGGUCGUGGCUGCGUGGUCGUGCUCCGCCCGCGCCGAGGGGCCUCACGCCCGGGCAGCCUGCGUCACCCGCAGGGUUCGGUCACAGGCGAGGGCGGAUGGUGCGGGCCGGAAUCCCGCCUGCGAGUAGAGGCCCGCGCUCAGGAGGGCGGCGCCGGAGGCCUCGGGUCGGGAGGGCCCCUUCGGGUGUGAGGAGCGCAGGAAGGGGGCGGUUUUCCUGCGUCUUGAGCCGCCCGAGGACGAGGACUGAAGUUGCAGCCGCCGCAGGGAGGGCAGCCCCGGAGGAGGAGGGUCGUGAGGGAGGGAGCGCGCAGUGCGGCGCGGCCUGGCAGGCGUCUGCAGAGCUCGUCCCGCACACCUCUGACUUCGGAGCGCUCCGUCCUGUGCCUUCGGACUGGCUCACCUCGGAGGCGCUUCGAGCCUCGGUCCUGCCCCGGCCGCUGCGCGAGCCCAUCGUAGGAAGCGGGGAGGCGCCGUCUGGAAGCUUAGGAAGAGGCUCUGUUCUCUUCAGGGUCCGCCCUCCGGGCCCGGGCAGGGUCCCUCGUGGGCUCCCAGGCGCGCGGGGUCCUCCGCCACCCCGACCCCUUCCUCCGUCCGCCUUAGGUCUAGAGCUGACGCCAAGAGCUGGAAAGCUUGUUGAGUAGGAAAAGCAAAGACUAGAUGGUCUGUCACAGAGGUAGGAUGAGGGUGACCUAUUUAUUUUUAUGCUUUUCUGUACUCCGCAAAUUCGUAACAGUGAAUGCCAGUGACGACAGCCAACAUCACCGAGUGCCUAGCUCCGUGUCGAACACCCAUGUAAUAUUCACAACCCUGUGCAGCGAAUACAAUACCUCUAUUUUACAUGUAAAGAAAGAUUCAGAAGUAUUAAAAGUAACCUGCCUAGGAUUACAGCUCUGAAGUUAGGGCAGAAUUUCAAGGCCGGUCUGGUUUGUUUCUGGACCUGCACUCACUCCACCACUACAGACGAGGUUGCAAAGCCAGUGGGCUGCGUGUAAUCCUCCCUCUUCCUCAGCCCCGAGACGCUCAGGAAAGUGUUUUCAGUUAUCGUGGUUAUCCGCCCUCAGCCCUCCAGUGGGCCGGGUGCCUCGGCAGAGGUGCUCGGGGCUGGGGAGGUGUUCUGUUGGUUUGUGGAGAGGACCUUCCCCUACACCCAGGGCUGACACUGAUUUUCACAACUGAACCGCUUUUCCUUUUGCUUCUUAUUGUACAGUCAGCCUUCGCAGUGAAUCCAACCUUGCCGUUUCCUCCUCCACUAUUUUUUCUUUCCCUGAUUGAAAGAC